GUGCACAUUCCAUUGUCUUUUUUCUUUCUGUCAAGAAGAAAGAUAUUUCUGAUGUGCCAAACUAACAUAUGGAGGUAAAUUAGCAGCAUGGCUUGGUAGCCAUUGCUGUCAGUCACCUUCAGACAAGU